rnacentral:tRNA from 1 species
GGAAGGGUGGCUGAGUGGUUUAAGGCACCUGACUCGAAAUCAGGCGUAGGAUAAAACCUACCGGGGGUUCAAAUCCCUCCCCUUCCGCCA